rnacentral:rRNA from 1 species
GCAGUCGAACGGGAUCCAUCGGGCUUUGCUUGGUGGUGAGAGUGGCGAACGGGUGAGUAAUGCGUGACCGACCUGCCCCAUGCACCGGAAUAGCUCCUGGAAACGGGUGGUAAUGCCGGAUGCUCCAUCACACCGCAUGGUGUGUUGGGAAAGCCUUUGCGGCAUGGGAUGGGGUCGCGUCCUAUCAGCUUGAUGGCGGGGUAACGGCCCACCAUGGCUUCGACGGGUAGCCGGCCUGAGAGGGCGACCGGCCACAUUGGGACUGAGAUACGGCCCAGACUCCUACGGGAGGCAGCAGUGGGGAAUAUUGCACAAUGGGCGCAAGCCUGAUGCAGCGACGCCGCGUGAGGGAUGGAGGCCUUCGGGUUGUAAACCUCUUUUGUUAGGGAGCAAGGCAUUUUUUGUUGAGUGUACCUUUCGAAUAAGCACCGGCUAACUACGUGCCAGCAGCCGCGGUAAUACGUAGGGUGCAAGCGUUAUCCGGAAUUAUUGGGCGUAAAGGGCUCGUAGGCGGUUCGUCGCGUCCGGUGUGAAAGUCCAUCGCUUAACGGUGGAUCCGCGCCGGGUACGGGCGGGCUUGAGUGCGGUAGGGGAGACUGGAAUUCCCGGUGUAACGGUGGAAUGUGUAGAUAUCGGGAAGAACACCAAUGGCGAAGGCAGGUCUCUGG